AAAACGUUUUCCUAAAUCAGCGUCACCCCCUCGCCUGCCAGUGUCUCCAACUUUACCCCUCCGUUUUCCGUCGCCGUCGGAUGCUGAAACCAAGCAGAAGAAGCAGGAGUGCUACACUGAUAUCGAGAGCUCGAGGAAGGAGAGAAGGACCUUGCUAGGAGUCAAGAGUAUAAGUAUUGUAUCUAUAAAUAAGUUCAGCAAUUUUGUUCAAUUUUCCGGAAAACAAAGUUGAUCAUUUAUCAUUUUAAUUAUUGGCUUCGUGAUUCGAUAAUGUCUACUUUUCCAACUUUCAAUCAUAAAUACAUUGGUUCAUAAGUGGGAAUCCAAAUAAACUUCAAUGCUACAAGAA